UAGGGAAUCUUCGGCAAUGGACGAAAGUCUGACCGAGCAACGCCGCGUGAGUGAAGAAGGUUUUCGGAUCGUAAAACUCUGUUGUUAGAGAAGAACAAGGACGUUAGUAACUGAACGUCCCCUGACGGUAUCUAACCAGAAAGCCACGGCUAACUACGUGCCAGCAGCCGCGGUAAUACGUAGGUGGCAAGCGUUGUCCGGAUUUAUUGGGCGUAAAGCGAGCGCAGGCGGUUUCUUAAGUCUGAUGUGAAAGCCCCCGGCUCAACCGGGGAGGGUCAUUGGAAACUGGGAGGCUUGAGUGCAGGAGAGGAGAGUGGAAUUCCAUGUGUAGCGGUGAAAUACGUAGAUAUAUGGAGGAACACCAGUGGCGAAGGCGGCUCGCUGGUCUGUAACUGACGCUGAGGCUCGAAAGCGUGGGGAGCAAACAGG
rnacentral:rRNA from 1 species